GUCAUCGUCUUCGUUAUCUGCUAG
rnacentral:sRNA from 1 species